UAAGUUAUUUCCUGUAAAGCAAAAGGUAAAGAAAAGAUGAACCGUAAAGAGAUGCUUCACUCAAAUAUAUUACUUUUUCACUGAAACUUUGGAAUAACUUCACUGAAAAAUGCAAUUCCUUAAGCUUAGAUGAAUAAUAACCCACAUAAGAAAUCAUGUCCAAAAUCACACCGAUCACAGGAACUCCAGAAAAUAUCAAGUUCUCCAAGGAAUUCAUGCUUAAUAUUCUCCCCAAAGUCUAAACAUAGCUUAUAUAGAACUAGCUCAGAAAAGCGUCAUGACCAGCAA
rnacentral:misc_RNA from 1 species